AUACUCUGGUUUCUCUUCAGAUCGUAUAAAUCCAUUGCCCAUUACUAAAAAUUUUCAUGGAGAGGAACAGGCAUGAGUGUUGAGGAAUAUAUAUUAUAAAGUUGCUGUUACUCUGU
ensembl:snRNA U5 U5 spliceosomal RNA